rnacentral:rRNA from 1 species
UACAGAGGGUGCGAGCGUUAAUCGGAAUUACUGGGCGUAAAGCGCGCGUAGGCGGCUUUGCAAGUCGGGUGUGAAAUCCCCGGGCUCAACCUGGGAACUGCAUUUGUGACUGUAGAGCUGGAGUGCGGCAGAGGGGGAUGGAAUUCGCGUGUAGCAGUGAAAUGCGUAGAUAUGCGGAGGAACACCGAUGGCGAAGGCAAUCCCCUGGGCCUGCACUGACGCUCAUGCACGAAAGCGUGGGAGCAACAGG